rnacentral:sRNA from 1 species
UGAAACCGAAGUGAUUCCACGAUCGUGC